AUUGAACGCUGGCGGCAUGCCUUACACAUGCAAGUCGAACGGCAGCACGGGUGCUUGCACCUGGUGGCGAGUGGCGAACGGGUGAGUAAUACAUCGGAACGUACCUUAUCGUGGGGGAUAACGCAGCGAAAGCCGUGCUAAUACCGCAUACGCCCUGAGGGGGAAAGCGGGGGAUCGAAAGACCUCGCGCGAUUAGAGCGGCCGAUGCCUGAUUAGCUUGUUGGUGGGGUAAAAGCCCACCAAGGCGACGAUCAGUAGCUGGUCUGAGAGGACGAUCGGCCACACUGGGACUGAGACACGGCCCAGACUCCUACGGGAGGCAGCAGUGGGGAAUUUUGGACAAUGGGGGCAACCCUGAUCCAGCAAUGCCGCGUGAGUGAAGAAGGCCUUCGGGUUGUAAAGCUCUUUUGUCAGGGAAGAAACACCGGCUCUAACACAGUCCGGGAAUGACGGUACCUGAAGAAUAAGCACCGGCUAACUACGUGCCAGCAGCCGCAGUAA
rnacentral:rRNA from 1 species